rnacentral:rRNA from 1 species
AGGACGAACGCUGGCGGCGUGCCUAAUGCAUGCAAGUCGCACGCAGGAGCUUCGGCUCCUGAGUGGCGCACGGCUGAGGAACACGUGGGAAACGGCCCUUCGGUGGGGGACAACCCGGCGAAAGCCAGGCUAAUCCCGCAUACGCUCUGCGGAGGAAAGCAGUAAUGCGCCGAAGAACGUGCCCGCGGCCCAUCAGGUAGUUGGCGGGGUAACGGCCCACCAAGCCGGUGACGGGUUGCUGGUCUGUGAGGACGACCAGCCAGACUGGGACUGAGACACGGCCCAGACUCCUACGGGAGGCAGCAGUGGGGAAUAUUGCGCAAUGGGCGAAAGCCUGACGCAGCGACGCCGCGUGAGGGAUGAAGGCCUUCGGGUUGUAAACCUCUUUCAGCAGGGACGAAGCGAAAGUGACGGUACCUGCAGAAGAAGCACCGGCUAACUACGCGCCAGCAGCCGC